rnacentral:rRNA from 1 species
AGAGUUUGAUCCUGGCUCAGGAUUAACGCUAGCGGCAGGCCUAACACAUGCAAGUCGAGGGGUAACAGGAGAGCUUGCUCUUGCUGACGACCGGCGCACGGGUGAGUAACGUAUGCAACCUACCCAUAACUUGGAGAUAGCCCGGAGAAAUUCGGAUUAAUACCCAAUAAUAUUUCUGAGAGGCAUCUCUCGGAUCUUAAAACUCAGGUGGUUAUGGAUGGGCAUGCGUGCCAUUAGAUUGUUGGUGAGGUAACAACGGCUCACCAAGGCUAUGAUGUCUAUGGGGUCUUAAGGGAUGGUCCCACACACUGGUACUGAGACACGGACCAGACUCCUACGGGAGGCAGCAGUGAGGAAUAUUGGUCAAUGGACGCAAGUCUGAACCAGCCAUGCCGCGUGCAGGAAGACGGCCCUACGGGUUGUAAACUGCUUUUGUAUGGGAAGAAACGACUCUACGUGUAGAGUUCUGACGGUACCGUAUGAAUAAGCACCGGCUAACUCCGUGCCAGCAGCCGCGGUAAUACGGAGGGUGCAAGCGUUAUCCGGAUUUAUUAGGUUUAAAGGGUGUGUAGGCGGAAGAAUAAGUCAGUGGUGAAAUCCUACAGCUUAACUGUAGAACUGCCAUUGAAACUGUUUUUCUUGAGUAUAGUUGAGGUUGGCGGAAUGUGUUGUGUAGCGGUGAAAUGCGUAGAGAUGACACAGAACACCGAUUUGCGAAGGCAGCUUACUAGACUAUAACUGACGCUGAUGCACGAAAGCGUGGGUAGCGAACAGGAUUAGAUACCCUGGUAGUCCACGCCGUAAACGAUGAUCACUCGUUGUGUGCGAUAUACUGUACGUGACUGAGCGAAAGCAUUAAGUGAUCCACCUGGGGAGUACGUUCGCAAGAAUGAAACUCAAAGGAAUUGACGGGGGCCCGCAAAAGCGGAGGAACAUGUGGUUUAAUUCGAUGAUACGCGAGGAACCUUACCUGGACUUAAAUGUAGCAUGACCGCCAGAAAUGGUAUUUCUCUUCGGAGCAGGUUACAAGGUGCUGCAUGGCUGUCGUCAGCUCGUGCCGUGAGGUGUCGGGUUAAGUCCCAUAACGAGCGCAACCCCUAUCGUUAGUUGCUAACAGGUCAUGCUGAGGACUCUAGCGAGACUGCCACCGUAAGGUGUGAGGAAGGUGGGGAUGACGUCAAGUCAGCACGGCCCUUAUGUCCAGGGCUACACACGUGUUACAAUGGUUGAUACAAAGAGCAGCUACAUAGCGAUAGGAUGCUAAUCUCGAAAGCUGAUCUCAGUUCGGAUCGAAGUCUGCAACUCGACUUCGUGAAGUUGGAUUCGCUAGUAAUCGCGUAUCAGCAACGACGCGGUGAAUACGUUCCCGGGCCUUGUACACACCGCCCGUCAAGCCAUGGAAGCUGGGGGUACCUGAAGUCCGUAACCGCAAGGAUCGGCCUAGGGUAAAACUAGUGACUGGGGCUAAGUCGAAACAAGGUAACCAAGGGCGAA